GGUUUGAUUGGUGAGCCUUCUGCCCUGGUCCACCUUGUCUUCUUGUGGGGGGAGGAGGCAGCGUGGCGAGCCAACGCUGGUGUGAUCCCCCCCGGGAGAACAGGGAGGCGAGGCGACCACUGUUUCCCACC